UUGAAGAGAGGAGCUGCUGACGCAAAAUCACAGCUAAAGCUACUCAACUGGAGCUGGAAGCAGCGGCAUUCAUAUACGCCACGUGACCCAAAUACGCACAAGUGCCAUGAAAUUCAGCCCCAAGGAAUGUUUCUAGAUGAACAAACCUACCUCGGCAACAUCUUAUUUCACCGUUGAUUCCUACUGCUAUUUUACACUACACUUCAAAAUAUAUUUUAGGUUUUAUGUCCCAGUUUAUUUUUAUCCUUUACAUUUCUACCUUUUUUUCACGGGAAGAUGUUGUCUACAUUGCAAAUCUGGCACGGCAAAGAUUUUGUUUACAAGCAAAGCCAUGGAAUAUGGGCAUCGAUUGAACUGUGGCCCAAGUCUCUAAAUUCUCCUUAAAACGAAGAAUCCGCAAUGGUACUAAAAUAAUUUGCCAAUGAAGAUUACUCGUUAACCAUUUGCAACCCAGCGUACAUUAUAUUUUAUUCGGUGGCAACGACAUUAUAAUGUUCCAAAAUCAACAUUAAAUCGACUGGGAUUUUAAAUAUAGAUCUGGAAUUCGCUCUUGACUAUUGAUGUUUCUCGAAUACAUUCCGGAACAAAAGUAAAGCACUUUAGCACCUUUCCUGUUGGAGAAGAUCGCAACGUUUAUGACCAGUCCGGCUUCGCGUGCAAAAGUGUGUCGAGUGGUGUCCAAUAGUGUGCGAAGCUCGCUACAAGUGUGAGAAUACCGAACUCGCUUAUAGCAUAAUGUGUGUGAAGAAUGACAUGAUCUACCAUCCAUGUUUAAUUAAGGCUUCUUUCUUGGAUCUGGACUUCAGCAGAGGAAUAUUGGAGCCUUGGGUCUGGACUUCAGCAGAGAGUAACUCUUCCUGUUCAAUUUGAAAUAAACUGGCUACAAGAUCAGGUUACAUAAUUUUAUGCAGAAACAUUUCUACAAUGUGAUAAUGAAAUUAUCACUGUCAUGUGAAGUUUUGUAUUAUAACUAUCAAUUAAAUGAAAAAAA